rnacentral:rRNA from 1 species
GUCGACAGCCAUGCUACCCUGAACAAGCCUGAUCCUUCCUAUCUGAUCUCGGAAGCUAAGCAGGGUCAGGUCUGGUUAGUAGUACUUGGAUAGGACACCACCCAGGAAUACCAGGUGCUGUAGGCA